rnacentral:rRNA from 1 species
UCGGGAGUAGCACCUGGAAACAGAUGCUAAUACCGGAUAACAACAGAUGAUGCCUAUCAACUGUUUAAAAGAUGGUUCUGCUAUCACUCUUGGAUGGACCUGCGGUGCAUUAGCUAGUUGGUAGGGUAACGGCCUACCAAGGCGAUGAUGCAUAGCCGAGUUGAGAGACUGAUCGGCCACAUUGGGACUGAGACACGGCCCAAACUCCUACGGGAGGCAGCAGCA